rnacentral:rRNA from 1 species
UACGGAGGGUGCGAGCGUUGUUCGGAAUUACUGGGCGUAAAGGGCGCGUAGGCGGCCACCGCAAGUCGACUGUGAAAUCUCCGGGCUUAACUCGGAAAGGUCAGCCGAUACUGCGGGGCUAGAGUGCAGAAGGGGCAACUGGAAUUCUCGGUGUAGCGGUGAAAUGCGUAGAUAUCGAGAGGAACACCUGCGGCGAAGGCGGGUUGCUGGGCUGACACUGACGCUGAUUGUGCGAAAGCUAGGGGAGCGAACGGG